CCUAGGGCAGGGACCCCGCCGCGGCCAGGACCGCCCGGUCUGGCCCCCGCCCGCGCCUCCCCAUGCUGCCCGGCGCCCCGCGCCGCGCCCUCCCCACGCCCGUGCCCAUGUGGCCAGACCGGGCAGCCAGAAAAAUCAUUUUUUUUUCUCUGGGAGGGUGAACAUUUAUAGCAUUGAUUUCCCGGAUCUGGUAACAUGGCAAAAGAUGCCGGUCUAAUUGAAGCCAACGGAGAACUCAAAGUCUUCAUAGACCAGAACCUUAGUCCCGGAAAAGGUGUGGUGUCUCUCGUGGCCGUUCACCCUCCACCGUCAACCCGCUUGGGCAGCAGCUCUUGCCAAAAACCUUUGGACAGUCCAGUGUCAACAUUGCCCCGCAAGUGGUAAUUGGUACACCUCAGAGACCAGCAGCAUCAAACACCCUUGUGGUAGGAAGCCCACACACCCCCAGCACUCACUUUGCCUCCCAGAACCAGCCUUCCGACUCCUCACCUUGGCCUGCCGGGAAGUGCAACAGGAAAGGAGAGAAGAAUGGCAAGGGCCUGCGGCAUUUCUCCAUGAAAGUCUGCGAGAAGGUGCAGAGGAAAGGGGCCACUUCCUAUAACGAAGUGGCGGACGAGCUGGUUGCGGAGUUCAGCGUUGCCAACAACCACAUCUUACCAAACGAGUCAGCUUAUGACCAGAAGAACCUAAGACGGCGUGUCUACGAUGCCUUAAACGUGCUGAUGGCCAUGAACAUCAUCUCCAAGGAGAAGAAGGAGAUCAAGUGGAUUGGUCUGCCCACCAACUCGGCUCAGGAAUGUCAGAACUUAAAGGUGGAAAGACAGAGGAGACUUGAAAGAAUAAAACAGAAACAGUCUCAACUUCAAGAACUUAUUCUACAGCAAACUGCGUUCAAGAACCUGGUUCAGAGAAACCGGCACACGGAGCAGCAGGCCAGCCGACUGCCGCUGCCCAACUCGGUCAUCCGCCUGCCCUUCAUCAUCGUCAACACCAGCAAGAAGACUGUCAUCGACUGUAGCAUCUCCAACGACAAAUUCGAGUAUCUGUUUAAUUUUGAUAACACAUUUGAAAUCCACGAUGACAUAGAAGUGCUAAAGCGGAUGGGCAUGGCAUGCGGGCUGCAGCCCGGGAGCUGCUCUGCGGAAGACCUUAAAAUGGCCAGAAGUUUGGUCCCAAAGGCUCUGGAGCCGUACAUGACAGAAAUGGCUCAGGGAACUGUUGGAGGCGUGUUCAUCACGACGGCAGGUUCCACGUCUAACGGCACGAGGUUCUCCGCCAGUGACCUGACCAACGGUGCAGAUGGGAUGCUGGCCACAAGCUCCAACGGGUCUCAGUACAGUGGCUCCAGGGUGGAGACCCCAGUGUCCUACGUCGGGGAAGACGACGAGGACGAUGAUGACUUCAAUGAGAAUGACGAGGAUGACUGACAUCCUCCCCACUUCAAAUUCAGCUUCAGGAAAACAUUUAGGGAAAAGAAACCUUUUUUUUUUUUUUUUUAAUGUGGGUUUUCUGUUUCCUUUUGGCCUACUCCCAAGAAGAUAUUGGUAAGCUAUUGAAUUUAGAUAUGUACCUCUGAUAAGCAAGGAUUGUUUCCGGUAGGAUUAGGACGUGCUGUGGAUGUGUGUUUUGAUACCAGUGUGCUGAUGCAGAGCAUUUAUUUUACUUUUUAGGAUUUUGUGUUUUCAUUUUUCUGGUUUUC